UGACCUGAGCUGAAGUCGGCCGCUUAACCGACUGAGCCACCCAGGCGCCCCUCGCUAUUGUUAAUAAUGCCGGCGUGAACGCUGGUGUGCCAAUGUCUCUUCAAGACCCUGCCUUCAGUUCUUGGAAGCAAGCAUCCACUUGCUGCGUGGAUGGUGGCGUCUCUGUGUUUAUUUUCUCCAGGAACUUCCAUACUUUUCCACAGAGGCUGCACCACCCUAUGUGCCCACCUGCAGUGCACAGGGGAAAUAGACCUGGCAUCCUUUUUAAGAGUGGAAUUAAGGAGGUCUAAAUUUCCAGUUACAAAAUCAAGAAGUCAUGGGGAUUAAAAAAAAAAAAAAAACAGCAUAGGAAACACAGGCAGUAAUAUUGUGAUAAUGUCGUGUAAUGACGGAUGGCAGCCAGGCUCACCAUGCGGGAUGCUGGGGAUUGUGUGCAGUUGUGCGAUCCCCGUACGUCCGCCUGAAACUAAUAUGACCCUGUGCGUCCACUCUGCGAAAGCCACCGCACCAGAGUGGAGACAGGCCACAUCCCGGGAGUUCAGGUGGCAGGAUCCCGAGCCUGACGUCAGCCAGGAGCUCGGGGGCUCCCUGCCGUUGGUCGAUCCCUGUGUGCCUGGCGUGGCCUGGCAGGGUCGUGCAGAAUUCUAUGCCCAGACACCUCUGAUCUGGUCACCGUGUAGAGCACAGUUUAGUCCGCACGUGGCCGAUCCUGUAGACGCCUGCCCUGUGUCUGCCUCCCCCUUUUUGCAUCCUAACACCGCUGCGCUUUUGUUCACACUUAGGGCCAGAGAUAUGUUUACUGGCCCUGGGUGCUGGGGGAGGCGCUGGGGGGGCAGGGAGGACAAAGGGCCCCCAGGUGCGGAGGGUGGAUGAGUGCGGCCGAAACUAGAAUCGCAGAGUCUGCUCUGGACACUCGUUCGCCGCCCAGGACGGGGAGCCGGCAGCCCAGGGCAGAGCGAGUGCGUCCCCGCUUCCUGGGAAGGAGGCCAGUUAGAGCCGCCCCGCGGGGCCGGGGCCCGACGCCCCUCGCCAAGGACGCUGUGUUAUCUGUGCAUUUGGAAGGAAAGGAGGGUUAAAAUACCUCUUUGUCUGCUGAGGACCGGGUCCGUCGUGACUCAUUUCUCCUUCCUUCCGUUUAGUAAGAGAGACGGGCCCUGUGCCAGCCAGUACGUUCCCAGGCCAGGCAGGUGCAGAACUCCCUGAGACGCUGCGACACGCUGGAUUGCUCGUUUAAUUUAAGGCUUAAACAGCUCCAAGAAAUACGUAGAAGCCUAUGCAUCACCGCGGAGGACUUGAUCGGAGGUGGGUGUCGCGGGGCCUGCUGGCUGACACCCGCAGCAAGCUGGAGUCAUUCUGGGGGACCACACGAGGCUGUGCGUGCCCUUGACACCGUGUGCAGAGAGGGCGCGGCUUAAAGAGGCGGGUGUCCAAUUGUCAUUUGACUGUUUUUCUCUCUAGUUUCCACUUUACUGGUUUAACGAGUCCCCACGAUACUCGGCUCCAACCCGGGCGCACAUUUUGGAUUGCUGACGAGGCUCAGGACAUGCGUGUGCCCCAGCGUUUCACACCGACAGGCAGAGACACACGGGGUGGUCCUUCUCACGGGCCCUCCACCUCCUGCACCCGCCUGGGGCCUGCGGGCCCGGCAGCCCCGGGUGCCCUGCGCGCGCCCUGCUGCCUCCCUGGGACCCCUGCGGCCACCUGCCAGCAGCCGACUUGCUGAGCUAGGAUUUCCCGUGUUGGAAACAGGAAAACUAAAAAAUAAUCUCUGGUUACGCAGAGACCCGCUGAGCAGAUCAGUGCGCCCUGAGCAGGCCCCUCAAGUGCAACCCAGCUCUGACCUUCCGCAGAGACCCCCUUCUUCCCAUUAUUGAUUCUUUAAUGGCAUCUAAUGAUGAUGUAAGGAGGCUGCCGGCCGGGCCCUUCAGUGCCAUCGAUCACUUGUUAAGGAUCAGAGAGGCACGCCCAUCUGCGUACCCCCGACCCGACAUCCCCGGAGGAUCCUGCGCUGCCCCGGGACCCCUCCACCCGGUCCUUCCGGCCCUGCCCCCUCCGCCCGCCCCCCCCCCCAGUCUUCCUGGCCCUGCCCCCUCUGCCUGGGAUCCCCCCAGUCCCUCUGGCCCUGCCCCCUCUGCCCGGGCCCCCUAGUCCUUCUGUCCCCGCUCCCUCUGUCCUGGGGAUCCCCUGGCCCUGCUCCCUCGGCCCGCUCCCCCCCGCCCCCCAGUCCCUCCGGCCCUCCCUCCCUCACAUGCUGUGUCUCUCUUGUGUCCUGCUGGCAGGCCUGCCGUCCCAGCUCUCCGUACCUGAAGCACACGUCUCACCCCCCCCCAUCUGUCUAAAUCCUACCUGUACUCUCAAGACACAUCUCAAAUAUCAUUUCAAAUGUCAAAUAACAGAGUGAUCUUUAAAAAAUAUAAAUCAGAUCAUGUCA